UUAACCACUCCCCCAAAGGCCCCACCUCUUAAUCGUGUUGCAUUGGGUUUUAGUUUCCAAUAUGUGAAUUUGGGGGAACAUCAACAUUUAGACCACAGCACUAGGUAAAAAACUUCUGGGAAGUUCAAUAUCUAAGCUUUUAUUAAGAGCGUAAGAGAAGGGCAGUGCCUAUGGCUCAAGGGGUAAGGGCGCAGGCCCCAUAUACUGGGGGUGGUGGGUUCAAGCCUGGCCCUGGCCAAAACUGCAAAAUAAUAAUAAUAAUAAAGCUGUGUAAAGCCAUAAUUCAAGAAUGUUCCCCAGGGGGAGUUGAUGUGGAGGUCAGAGUGGAAGCAAGUGCGAGUGGGUCCAACAGAAGGAAACAUGGCUGCCAAAGUGUUUGAGUCCAUCAGCAAGUUUGGCCUGGCCUUAGCCAUUGCAGGAGGUGUGGUGAACUCUGCUUUGUAUAAUGUGGAUGCUGGACACAGAGCUGUCAUCUUUGACCCAUUCCGUGGAGUGCAGGACAUUGUGGUAGGGGAAGGGACUCACUUUCUCAUCCCAUGGGUACAGAAACAAAUUAUCUUUGACUGCCGCUCUCGACCAUCUAACAUGCCAGUCAUCUCUGGUAGCAAAGAUUGACAGAAUGUCAACAUCACGUUGCGCAUCCUCUUCCGGCCUGUGGCCACCCAGCUUCCUGGAAUCUUCACCAGCAUUGGAGAGGACUAGGAUGAGCGUGUGCUGCCAUCUAUUACCACAGAGAUCCUCAAGUCGGUGGUGGUUCGCUUUGAUGCUGGAGAGCUAAUGACCCAGAGAGAGCUGGUCUCCAGGCAGGUGAGUGAUGACCUUACGGAGCGAGCAGCAACCUUUGGGCUCAUCCUGGAUGAUGUUUCCUUGACACAUCUGACCUUCGGGAAGGAGUUCACAGAAGCAGUGGAAGCCUAACAGGUGGCUCAGCAGGAAGCAGAGAGGGCCAGAUUUGUGGUGAAAAGGCUGAGCAGCAGAAAAAGGCAGCCAUCAUCUCUGCUGAGGGAGACCCCAAGGCAGCAGAGCUGAUUGCCAACUCACUGGCCACGGCGGGUGAUGGCCUGAUCGAGCUCCACAAGCUGGAGGCGGCAGAGGCCAUUGCAUUCCAGCUGUCGCGCUCUCGGAACAUCACCUACCUGCCAGCGGGGCAGUCUGUGCUCCUCCAGCUGCCCCAGUGAGGGCCUGCCCUGCCUGUACUCCUCAGGCCAACUGGACCACAGUCCUGAUGAUGAUUAACACCACCUCCCUUCUGCCCCCACCCAGAAAUCGCUGUGAAAUCUCAUGAUUGGCUUACAGUGAAGGAAAUAAAAGUAAAAUCACUUUAGAUCUCUAAUUAUCAAAUGCA